rnacentral:tRNA from 1 species
GCAUUCUUAGCUCAGCUGGAUAGAGCAACAGCCUUCGAAGUUGAAGGUCACAGGUUCAAAUCCUGUAGAAUGCA